AGUUUCAAUGGGAACUUCAGAACUGUUUGCUCACUGAAUUCUUCCAACCUGUGUUGAAGUAAAGCAAGUUCAGAUUAUCAUCUCCAUUUUUCAACAUCCUACCCAGUUAACAUCACACAAUUUAUUCUUAUUGGGCAGUGACUGGCUCCACCCCUGUCUGCCUUCCAGUAGCUGAAUCUCUGAAUCAUCGUCUUUGUCCCAUCUGACUGGUGGUGACAUUGAACUUAAAGCAGGGAGAUGGCUAAUGGAAGUGGUUAUGAAAGUGGAAGUGACAGCAGCUGAAGUGGAAGGGAAAACUGAAGAUUUAAAGUGCUGAAAAUCAUGUAGCACCAGCACACCUUCCCAGCUGUCUGCUCUUGGAAGAUCACUGCAGAAAUCUUGGCUCUGCAGUGGGCAGAGGGAUUUGUGUUGACUGACAGAAUGUUGCUGCCAUAACCUGUCUUCUUGACUUUUGAGGAGAAUAUCCUGCAGACCUCAGUCGUCUUCACCUGAGUCCUCAGAGACAUGUAAUUUCCCUUGAUCUUCUCAGUCCCCUCAUACCUAUGUAGAUGGGCAACAAGGAGGAGUACUUCAAGACCUCUGUGAGUUCCAGCAUGCUCUGCAAGGUUGAGGUUCUGGGCCCUGGAAAAGCACCAAAUCUCCUAAAAGAGCAAAUCUGUUUGGAAGAUGGGCUUGUAUGCCAGCCUUCACCUACUCCUACAUGCUAACUAGUUCUUAAAGACAGUUUUUAUAUGUGUGCGUUAUUAUCAAUCCAAACUAAUGAUUUCACUGAUCUUAGAGAAAAUAAACCUAUUUACAAAGUCUAA